GAGUAGAAGCACUUUCUCGCACUAAUGUUCAAGACCACGACUACCCAAGUCAGCUGCAACUUUGGCUGCUCGAUUCAGGGCAUCAGACAUGAAAAGAGCUCCCCUAGAGAAGUAGCUACUCCUCACCACGGUAUCAGCAGCGGCAGCAGCUGUUCUUCCUGUGGCUGAUAUAGCUGAUUUGGUGGUCUGCAAUACAUGGUACUUCUCAUCCACGGUUUUAACCGCUUCAAAACCCG
rnacentral:misc_RNA from 1 species